AGAGGUGCCCGCAUCGCCCAAGCCCCGCGACUCCGGACCUCGGCGGGAUCGGGGGAUGGGAGAGCCGGCGCCUCGGCGCGCUCUAGAUAGGGACCUGCUCCUCGGGGACAAGCCCUUCCGAAACCCACCAGAACCUGCCCCUAGUCAGAGCACUGAAAGUAAACAAGAGCACGGAUCCUGUCUUGGGUCACCUGCCCGUUGGGGAAGGCCUCACUUCAUUCUCCAUCAGGAGACAAGGAGGGAGAAGCUGCCUGGCCUUGGAGUGCACUCAGAUCAGUCAUCCAACGCCUCAAAAUAAAAACUGGUUCCUGUU